AACGAACGCUGGCGGCAUGCCUAACACAUGCAAGUCGAACGAGACCUUCGGGUCUAGUGGCGCACGGGUGCGUAACGCGUGGGAAUCUGCCCUUGGUUCGGAAUAACAGUUAGAAAUGACUGCUAAUACCGGAUGAUGACGAAAGUCCAAAGAUUUAUCGCCGAGGGAUGAGCCCGCGUAGGAUUAGCUAGUUGGUGAGGUAAAGGCUCACCAAGGCGACGAUCCUUAGCUGGUCUGAGAGGAUGAUCAGCCACACUGGGACUGAGACACGGCCCAGACUCCUACGGGAGGCAGCAGUGGGGAAUAUUGGACAAUGGGCGAAAGCCUGAUCCAGCAAUGCCGCGUGAGUGAUGAAGGCCUUAGGGUCGUAAAGCUCUUUUACCAGGGAUGAUAAUGACAGUACCUGGAGAAUAAGCUCCGGCUAACUCCGUGCCAGCAGCCGCGGU
rnacentral:rRNA from 1 species